ACUGGUAAACAAACAUAGAAAGACUCCAACAAAAUUCAGAAGAAAAGCAAAGAAAAGGUGAUGAUAAAAAGAAUAUAGAGUGAGGUCGAUAACUUUAUAUGUGUUUACUGUUUUCACACCUAAAAAAUUAUAAUAUAACCUGUAUACGUAUUAUAGUACGUUUACUCCCUUUCCGAGUAUUAUAUCGGCGAUAGACUUUUAAAAUGCAAAUAAAAUUAAAUAUUAUUGAAAAUGAAGAAGUAAUUGAAUCAGUCGUACGAGAAACUACUUCAGACCUGAGUCUAGCAAGCCUAACAUCGGCAUUAGAAGAUUUCCGACAAAUAACCAAUGAGGUCUUUACAAAAAAAAUAUUGAAGAAUGAGGCGAUAGAUAUAUCUGAUGAUGAGAGCAAUACUAGUGAUGAUGAAAAAGAAUGCCCGAAGAAAAAAAGCAAAAGAGGUAGCAAGGCAUAAUUAUUAUUAUUCGUGAAUAAUAUUUUUAGUUCCAUAGGUACUUUUGAUAAUUUGUUAUUUUGCUACAAAAUUAAAAAUAAAACACACUAUGUA